CGCGGCCUAUCAGCUUGUUGGUGAGGUAACGGCUCACCAAGGCGACGACGGGUAGCCGGCCUGAGAGGGCGACCGGCCACACUGGGACUGAGACACGGCCCAGACUCCUACGGGAGGCAGCAGUGGGGAAUAUUGCACAAUGGGCGGAAGCCUGAUGCAGCGACGCCGCGUGAGGGAUGACGGCCUUCGGGUUGUAAACCUCUUUCAGCAGGGAAGAAGCGCAAGUGACGGUACCUGCAGAAGAAGCGCCGGCUAACUACGUGCCAGCAGCCGCGGUAAUACGUAGGGCGCAAGCGUUGUCCGGAAUUAUUGGGCGUAAAGAGCUCGUAGGCGGCUUGUCGCGUCGGAUGUGAAAGCCCGGGGCUUAACCCCGGGUCUGCAUUCGAUACGGGCAGGCUAGAGUUCGGUAGGGGAGAUCGGAAUUCCUGGUGUAGCGGUGAAAUGCGCAGAUAUCAGGAGGAACACCGGUGGCGAAGGCGGAUCUCUGGGCCGAUACUGACGCUGAGGAGCGAAAGCGUGGGGAGCGAACAGGAUUAGAUACCCUGGUAGUCCACGCCGUAAACGGUGGGAACUAGGCGUUGGCGACAUUCCACGUCGUCGGUGCCGCAGCUAACGCAUUAAGUUCCCCGCCUGGGGAGUACGG
rnacentral:rRNA from 1 species